rnacentral:tRNA from 1 species
CAGACAGUAGUGUUAGUUAAGCACAGUUAAUUUUCAUUUAACUAGAAUAAAUUUUUAUCUGCCUGU